UGGGGAAUAUUGGACAAUGGGCGAAAGCCUGAUCCAGCCAUGCCGCGUGUGUGAAGAAGGUCUUCGGAUUGUAAAGCACUUUAAGUUGGGAGGGAAGGGCAGUAAGCUAAUACCUUGCUGUUUUGACGUUACCGACAGAAUAAGCACCGGCUAACUCUGUGCCAGCAGCCGCGGUAAUACAGAGGGUACAAGCGUUAAUCGGAAUUACUGGGCGUAAAGCGCGCGUAGGUGGUUUGUUAAGUUGGAUGUGAAAGCCCCGGGCUCAACCUGGGAACUGCAUCCAAAACUGGCAAGCUAGAGUACGGUAGAGGGUGGUGGAAUUUCCUGUGUAGCGGUGAAAUGCGUAGAUAUAGGAAGGAACACCAGUGGCGAAGGCGACCACCUGGACUGAUACUGACACUGAGGUGCGAAAGCGUGGGGGAGCAAACA
rnacentral:rRNA from 1 species